CCACGGUAUGGAAACAGUUACGGCGAGUGAAGCGGCAAAAGCUCAAAUUUGAAAUCUAGCACCUUCGGUGUUCGAGUUGUAAUUUGAAGAUGGUAACCUUGGGUUUGGCUCUUGUCUAUGUUCCUUGGAACAGGACGUCAUAGAGGGUGAGAAUCCCGUCUGAUGAGAUGCCCAUUCCUAUGUAAGGUGCUAUCGAAGAGUCGAGUUGUUUGGGAAUGCAGCUCUAAGUGGGUGGUAAAUUCCAUCUAAAGCUAAAUAUUGGCGAGAGACCGAUAGCGAACAAGUACAGUGAUGGAAAGAUGAAAAGAACUUUGAAAAGAGAGUGAAAAAGUACGUGAAAUUGUUGAAAGGGAAGGGCAUUAGAUCAGACUUGGUGUUUUACGAUUAUCUUCUCUUCUUGAGUUGUGCACUCGUAUUUCACUGGGCCAGCAUCGAUUCGGAUGGCAAGAUAAUGGCAGUUGAAUGUGGCUUCACUUCGGUGGAGUGUUAUAGCUUCUGCUGAUAUUGCCUGUCUGGAUCGAGGGCUGCGUCUUUUGACUAGGAUGCUGGCGUAAUGAUCUAAUGCCGCCCGUCUUGAAACACGGACCGAAUA
rnacentral:rRNA from 1 species